GACGAACGCUGGCGGCGUGCCUAACACAUGCAAGUCGAACGAGGUCCAAGGGAGCUUGCUCCCUGAAGACCUAGUGGCGAACGGGUGAGUAACGCGUGAGAAACCUGCCUCGGAGUGGGGAAUAACUCGGGGAAACUCGAGCUAAUACCGCAUACCUUCACACGAUCGCAUGGUCGAGUGAAGAAAGAAUUUCGCUCUGAGAGGGUCUCGCGGCCUAUCAGCUUGUUGGUGGGGUAACGGCCCACCAAGGCAACGACGGGUAGCUGGUUUGAGAGAACGAUCAGCCACACUGGGACUGAGACACGGCCCAGACUCCUACGGGAGGCAGCAGUGGGGAAUCUUGCGCAAUGGGCGAAAGCCUGACGCAGCAACGCCGCGUGCGGGAUGACGGCCUCGUGGUUGUAA
rnacentral:rRNA from 1 species